AGAAUAGGGACAGAAUUAAGUACAAAGUAUUUAGUGGAAAAUGGAACUCCUCAAGGGAGUAUAGUUAGUCCAGUUUUGUUUUCAAUUAUGAUAAAUGAAGUGUUUAGUAAAGUUGAUAGAUCUAUAAGUGUUGCUUUAUUUGCAGAUGAUGGUGUGAUGUGGAAAAAGGGAAGGAAUAUAGAUUAUAUAGUAAGGAAAAUGCAAGAGGCAAUUGGGAAGGUAGAGAAUUGGGGAAUGGAAUGGGGCUUUAGGUUUUCAGUGGCAAAGACCAAAGUAAUCUGUUUUUCUCGAAAGAUAAAUCAAGAACAGUUUCAACUUAAACUUUAUAACAAAAAUCUAGAGAGAGUGGAAUGUUUUAAAUAUCUCGGGAUAUGGUUUGAUAGAAAACUUAACUGGAAAAUACAUAUUGAGAAAGUUGUUGAGAAAUGUAAAAGAAUAUUGAAUGUAGUAAGAUGUCUGAGAGGUAGAGAGUGGGGAGCAAGUAGGAACUCUUUGAAAGUAGUUUAUAUUGGAUUAAUUAGGGCAGUUAUACAUUAUGGAUGUACAGUUUAUCAGUCUGCUUCAAGCACUUUACUAAAAAAGUUGGAUGUAAUUCAAAGUCAGGCGUUAAGACUCUGUUGUGGUGCUUUUAAAACAACCCCAGUAGCGGCUUUACAAGUAGAAAUGAAUGAGAUGCCAUUGGAGAUUAGAAGAAAUCAGAUAGCAUUAACGUACUGGGCAAAUUUAAAAGGGCAUAAGGAAAUUCACCCGACUCAGAAGGUGUUACAACCAUGUCAAGAAAAGGAAAGACGACAGAUUAAGAGUUUUGGAUGGAUAUUAAGGGAUGCAGUCGAUGAGAUAGGGAUAGGAGAUAUGGUGGUAAGUCUAAUUGUGCCAUUAUCUAAUGUUCCACCUUGGCUAUUAGGGGAGAUGGAGGUAGAUCUGCACCUUUUAGAGUGGAAAAAAGAGAAUAGAAGUAAUAGCUGUCAGGUUAGUAAAUACAUAGAGGAGAAUUAUUCUAUGUUUAUGAAGAUAUAUACAGAUGCAUCAAAAACAGAAGGUAAUAGAGUAGGAGCUGCGUUUAUUAUACCAGAAGUUAAUGUUAUGUUAAAUAAGAGAAUAAAUGAUAAAAUGUCAGUGUAUACAGGAGAAAUGCUGGCCAUUCUCUUAGCCCUUGAGUGGGUUGAAAAUAGUAGGCCAAGGGAAGUGUUAAUAGGGUCAGAUUCAAGUAGUGCAUUAAUCAGUAUUAAGAACAUGAAAUCAGAAACAAGACAGGAUAUUUUGUUGGAAAUAGCCCAAGCGGUUUAUAGAAUUAAUAAAGUAGGAGUAAUAAUAAAAUUCAUUUGGAUUCCAGCCCAUAUAGGAGUAGAAGGAAAUGAAAUUGCAGACAGAUAUGCCAAAAAUGCAACCAAAAAAUCAGAAAUAGAUAUGGUAAUAAGUUAUAGUAAGGCAGAAGUUAAAAGCAUAAUCAAAGAAGAAAUGAAGAAGAAGUGGCAAGAGGAGUGGAAUAAAGAAACAAAAGCAAGAAUGUAUUACAGUAUCCAGAAGAGGGUAGGAGGUAUGAGGGAAAAUAAUAGGAAUAAAAGGGAAGAGGACAUUAUUUCAAGAAUGAGAUUUGGGCAUACUGGAUUGAAUAGUACACUGAAGUUAAUAGGGAAACAUGAAACUGGGAUGUGUGAGGUCUGUAAUAUCAAUGAAACAGUAGAGCAUGUUAUUAUUUAUUGUCGAAAGUAUAAUGAGGAAAGGAUGAGGCUGAGAAAUUGGUUGAGAAAAGAAAAAAUUAGAUUGGAUAUGAAGGAAUUAUUACAAAUGAAUUCAGGUCAUGUAGGUUAUAGAGCCAUAUUUGUCUUUUUGAAUAAAACAGGUCUUAGUAGAAGGAUAUAAAGUUUGUUGUCUUAGGAAAUUAUAUUUAUUGAUAAUGUAUGAAUAUUAAAGAUGUUAAUGAAUAUUUAUUAAAGUUAUUUAUUGGUGUUAUUAUGGUUUUAUGUAUUUAUAUAUUUAUUUAAAGGGCAGUGAGGAAAAGCCAUUUUGAUCCACACUCCAUAUCAGAAGGUGGCGGUAAUGCACACCUAAAAGUUGUUUGCCAACCGCCAAUAAAAGAGAAGAAGAAGAAGAAGAAGAAGAAGGAGGACAAACACACAGAAAAACUGCGGCUGAGAUCCACGUGACACACUUAUAAAGAUGGCAUUUAUUAAAGAGGAGAGUGAAGACAUGAAGAUUGAAGAAACAUUCAGUGUGAAACAAGAAGACACUGAGGAACAAACAGACCUGAUGGCCCUGAAAGAGGAGACUGAAGUACUGAAUGAAAUGGAAGGGAAAGAUCAAUAUAACAAUCAUCAUAAUUUCACUACUGGAGAAAAAACUUUUAGUUGCUCACAGACUGAAAAGACUUCUUCUCAAAAAAUGGCUCAAACACCUGGGACUAGAAGUAAUUUAAUCUGUCUUCAGUGUGGAAAGAGUUUCAAACAGAAAGGACACUUUAAAGACCACAUGAGAGUUCACACUGGAGAGAAGCCUUACACCUGCAAACAAUGUGGAAAAAGUUUCAACCAGAAAGGAAGCCUUAACAGGCACGUGAAAAUUCAUAAUAGAGAGAAGCCCUACAUGUG